GAUGAAGAACGUAGCGAAAUGCGAUAAGUAAUGUGAAUUGCAGAAUUCAGUGAAUCAUCGAAUCUUUGAACGCACAUUGCGCCCUCUGGUAUUCCGGGGGGCAUGCCUGUUCGAGCGUCAUUAUAACCACUCAAGCUCUCGCUUGGUAUUGGGGUUCGCGGUUCCGCGGCCCCUAAAAUCAGUGGCGGUGCCUGUCGGCUCUACGCGUAGUAAUACUCCUCGCGAUUGAGUCCGGUAGGUCUACUUGCCAGCAACCCCCAAUUUUUACAGGUUGACCUCGGAUCAGGUAGGGAUACCCGCUGAACUUAAGCAUUUCAAUAAGCGGAGGA
rnacentral:misc_RNA from 1 species